rnacentral:rRNA from 1 species
GUGGGGAAUUUUGGACAAUGGGCGCAAGCCUGAUCCAGCCAUUCCGCGUGCAGGAUGAAGGCCUUCGGGUUGUAAACUGCUUUUGUACGGAACGAAAAGCCUCUGGUUAAUACCCGGGGGUCAUGACGGUACCGUAAGAAUAAGCACCGGCUAACUACGUGCCAGCAGCCGCGGUAAUACGUAGGGUGCGAGCGUUAAUCGGAAUUACUGGGCGUAAAGCGUGCGCAGGCGGGUUUGUAAGACAGGCGUGAAAUCCCCGGGCUCAACCUGGGAAUUGCGCUUGUGACUGCAAGGCUGGAGUGCGGCAGAGGGGGAUGGAAUUCCGCGUGUAGCAGUGAAAUGCGUAGAUAUGCGGAGGAACACCGAUGGCGAAGGCAAUCCCCUGGGCCUGCACUGACGCUCAUGCACGAAAGCGUGGGGAGCAAACAGGAUUAGAAACCCGUGUAGUCC